GUCCUUUUGAAUUAAUUUAAGGUCUAACCUGCCCACUGAAUUUUUGAAGGGCCGCAGUAUUUUGACUGUGCAAAGGUAGCAUAAUCAUUAGUUUUUUAAUUAAAAGCUUGUAUGAAGGGUUGGACGAAGUAAAUUCUGUCUCUAUUUAAUUUAAUUUAGAAUUUAAUUUUUAAGUCAAAAAGCUUAAAUAUUAUUAAAAGACGAGAAGACCCUAUAGAUCUUUAUAUUAAAUUAAUUAAAUUUAUUUAAGAAUUUUUUAUUUUUUAAUAAAUUUAAUAUUUUAUUGGGGUAAUAAAAAGAUUUAUUUAAUUCUUUUUUUAUUUUUACAUUAAUGUAUGAUUAUAUGAUCCAAUUUUAUUGAUUAAAAGAUUAAGUUACCUUAGGGAUAACAGCGUAAUUUUUUUAAAGAGUUCAUAUCGAUAAAAAAGUUUGCGACCUCGAUGUUGGAUUAAAAAUUAUCUUAGGUGCAGAAGUUUAAGAUUUUGGUCUGUUCGACCAUUAAAUUUUU
rnacentral:rRNA from 1 species